rnacentral:rRNA from 1 species
AAAGAGGUGACCGCGUGCCUAUUGAAGAAUGAGCCUGCGAGUUAAUUUAAAUAGCAUGGUUAAAGGAUAAAAGUUCUGGAGCCAGAGCGAAAGCGAGUCUGAAUAGGGCGACUUUGUUGUUUGGAUUAGACCCGAAACCGGGUGAGCUACCCAUGGCCAGGUUGAAGCCAAGAUAAUAUCUUGGUGAAGGACCGAACCCGUGUAAAGUGCAAAUUGCUGGGAUGAGUUGUGGGUAGAGGUAAAAUGCCAAUCGAACCCGGAGAUAGCUGGUUCUCUCCGAAAUGUAUUUAGGUACAGCGUUAAAUUAGUCUUAGGGAGGUAGAGCACUGGAUGGAUAAGGGGGCGUAAGCCUACCAAGUUCAACCAAACUCCGAAUGCCUUAAGAUGAUGUUUAGCAGUGAGACCGUGGGGGAUAAGCUCCAUUGUCAAAAGGGAAACAGCCCAGAUCACAAGCUAAGGUCCCUAAGUCUGAACUAAGUGGGAAAGGAAGUUAGAAUCCACAAACAGCCAGGAGGUUGGCUUAGAAGCAGCCACCCUUUAAAGAAAGCGUAAUAGCUCACUGGUCGAGGUUUUUAGCGCCUAAAAUGUAACGGGGCUAAAGUUCAGCACCGAAGCUGUGAGUUUUCUAUUUUAAUAGAAAGCGGUAGGAGAGCGUUGUCAGUGCACUGAAGCUAAAAUGUGAGUUUUGGUGGAGCGCUGAGAAGUGAGAAUGCAGGCAUGAGUAGCGACAAUCGUGGUGAGAAUCCACGACACCGGAAGCCCAAGGUUUCCUACGCAAUGUUGAUCAUCGUAGGGUUAGUCGGGCCUAAGUGAAAGCGUAUAGCGAACACGAUGGAUAACGGGUCAAAAUUCCCGUACCAUUUGUAUUGUGUUUUAACGCAAAGGGGGGACGCAAGAAGGUAAGUAAAGCAUACCUAAUGGACAUGGUGUGUUUGUUUUUGUAGAUGAUGACCAGAUAGGUAAAUCCGUCUGGUAUUUUAGUUGAGGAAAACAAAAACUCGAGAGCUUAGCUCAAAGGAAUUUUGCUGAUCCUAUGUUGCCAAGAAAAUCCUCGUUGUAAAUAAUAUAAAUGACCGUACCGCAAACCGACACAGGUAGGCAGGGAUAAAAGUCCCAAGGUGAACGAAAGAACCUUCGUUAAGGAACUCGACAGAUUGACCCCGUAACUUAGGGAGAAGGGGUGCCUGUUAUUUGAUACUGAUUUACUUAGUAAAGGGUAAUAGGCCGCAGUGAAUCGGUCCAAGCGACUGUUUAUCAAAAACAUAGGUCUAUGCUAAACCGAAAGGUGAUGUAUAUGGGCUGACGCCUGCCCAGUGCCGGAAGGUUAAGAGGAGAGGUUAGGAUUUAUCCAAAGCUUUGAAUUGAAGCCCCGGUGAACGGCGGCCGUAACUAUAACGGUCCUAAGGUAGCGAAAUCCCUUGUCAGGUAAGUUCUGACCCGCACGAAUGGCGUAACGACUUGGACAUUGUCUCAACGAAGGACUCGGUGAAAUUGCAGGACCAGUGAAGAUGCUGGUUACCUACGACAGGACAAAAAGACCCCGUGGAGCUUUACUGCAGCUUGGCAGUGAUUUAGGCUUAUAAACAUGUAGGAUAGGCGGGAGACUUUGAAGCUUUAACGCUAGUUAGAGUGGAGUCGCCCUUGAAAUACCGCCUUUUUAUAAUCUUGGAUCUAACUUUAUUUUAAAUGAAGGACCCUGCCUGGUGGGCAGUUUGACUGGGGCGGUCGCCUCCCAAACAAUAACGGAGGCGCCCAAAGGUUCCCUCAAGGUGGAUUGGAAAUCACCUUUCGAGUGUAUUGGCAUAAGGGAGCUUGACUGUGAGACCUACAAGUCGAGCA